UACGUAGGGGGCAAGCGUUGUCCGGAAUCAUUGGGCGUAAAGCGCGUGUAGGCGGCUCGGGUAGUCUGGUGUGAAAUCUUUCGGCUCAACCGGAAGCGGUCACUGGAUACUCUCGGGCUUGAGUCCGGAAGAGGAGAGUGGAAUUCCUGGUGUAGCGGUGGAAUGCGCAGAUAUCAGGAGGAACACCUAUGGCGAAGGCAGCUCGCUGGGACGUUACUGACGCUGAGACGCGAAAGCGUGGGGAGCAAACAGG
rnacentral:rRNA from 1 species